CGGGGGGCUUUAAACGUGCGAGUUCGAGCGGAAGGCCUCUUCGGGGGUACUCGAGCGGCGAACGGGUGAGUAACACGUGAGUAAUCUGCCCUUGGCUUCGGGAUAGCUUCGGGAAACCGAAAUUAAUACCGGAUAUGACACUCCUCCGCAUGGGGUGGGUGUGGAAAGUUUUUCGGCCAGGGAUGUGCUCGCGGCCUAUCAGCUUGUUGGUGGGGUAAUGGCCUACCAAGGCUUCGACGGGUAGCCGGCCUGAGAGGGUGACCGGCCACACUGGGACUGAGACACGGCCCAGACUCCUACGGGAGGCAGCAGUGGGGAAUAUUGGACAAUGGGCGGAAGCCUGAUCCAGCAACGCCGCGUGAGGGAUGACGGCCUUGGGUUGUAAACCUCUUUCGCCUGUGACGAAGCGCAAGUGACGGUAACAGGUAAAGAAGCACCGGCCAACUACGUGCCAGCAGCCGCGGUAAUA
rnacentral:rRNA from 1 species